rnacentral:rRNA from 1 species
UACGUAGGGCGCAAGCGUUAUCCGGAAUUAUUGGGCGUAAAGAGCUCGUAGGCGGUCUGUCGCGUCUGCUGUGAAAACUCGGGGCUUAACCCCGGGCCUGCAGUGGGUACGGGCAGACUAGAGUGCGGUAGGGGAGACUGGAAUUCCUGGUGUAGCGGUGAAAUGCGCAGAUAUCAGGAGGAACACCGAUGGCGAAGGCAGGUCUCUGGGCAUUAACUGACGCUGAGGAGCGAAAGCAUGGGGAGCGAACAGG